rnacentral:misc_RNA from 1 species
GAAAUGCGAUAAGUAAUGUGAAUUGCAGAAUUCAGUGAAUCAUCGAAUCUUUGAACGCACAUUGCGCCCGUCAGUAUUCUGGCGGGCAUGCCUGUCCGAGCGUCAUUUCAACCCUCAGCCCUCCCUUUCGGGGGGGCUGGUGCUGGGGAUCAGCGUAGGUGCGGGGCCCCGGUCUCGCCUGCUGUCCCUCAAAUACAGUGGCGGUCUCGCUGUGGACUCCCAUGCGUAGUAACAUACCUCGCACGCGGAAACCUGGCAUGGCCACGCCGUAAAACCCCUUAUAUUUUUGUGGUUGACCUCGGAUCAGGUAGGAAUACCCGCUGAACUUAA